rnacentral:rRNA from 1 species
GAUGAACGCUGGCGGCGUGCUUAACACAUGCAAGUCGAGCGAACACAUGAGGAGCUUGCUCCUCGGACGUUAGCGGCGGACGGGUGAGUAACACGUGGAUAACCUACCUAUAAGACUGGGAUAACUUCGGGAAACCGGAGCCAAUACCGGACAAUAUAUUGAACCGCAUGGUUCAAUAGUGAAAGACGGUUUUGCUGUCACUUAUAGAUGGUUCCGCGCCGCAUUAGCUAGUUGGUAAGGUAACGGCUUACCAAGGCAACGAUGCGUAGCCGACCUGAGAGGAUGAUCAGCCACACUGGAACUGAGACACGGUCCAGACUCCUACGGGAGGCAGCAGUGGGGAAUCUUCGGCAAUGGGGGAAAGCCUGACGGAGCCACGCCGCGUGAGUGAAGAAGGUCUUCGGGUCGUAAAGCUCUGUUAUUAGGAAAGAACAAGUGUGUAAGUAACUAUGCACGUCUUGACGGUACCUAAUCAGGAAGCCACGGCUAACUACGUG